GACGAACGCUGGCGGCGUGCCUAACACAUGCAAGUCGAACGGAGAAUUAGCAAUAAUUCUUAGUGGCGAACGGGUGAGUAACGCGUAGACAACCUACCCUUUAGAUGGGGACAACACCGCGAAAGUGGUGCUAAUACCGAAUAUUGCUUGAGAAGCGCACGCUUUUCAAACUAAAGAUGGCCUCUAUUUAUAAGCUAUCGCUAAAGAAUGGGUCUGCGUCUGAUUAGCUAGUUGGUGAGAUAAAAGCUCACCAAGGCAACGAUCAGUAGCCGGUCUGAGAGGAUGAACGGCCACACUGGGACUGAGACACGGCCCAGACUCCUACGGGAGGCAGCAGUGGGAAUCUUCCGCAAUGGACGAAAGUCUGACGGAGCAACGCCGCGUGAGUGAUGAAGGUUUUCGGAUCGUAAAACUCUGUUGUUAAGGACGAAUGUAUAGAUUGUGAAUAAUGGUUUAUAAUGACGGUACUUAACGAGGAAGCCACGGCUAACUACGUGCCAGCCGCCGCUGUAA
rnacentral:rRNA from 1 species